AUCCUUAAAAUCGAGGUAAAAUUCUAUCUUUAAAGGGUUUAAAUUAAAACUCUAAAUUCAUGGCUAUAAACAAGGAUUAGAUACCCUUCUAUAUUUGAAAUUCAACCUUAAUUAGUAAAAGUUUUUUUGGAAACUAAAGUUUGGCAGCUUUUAAUACAACCAGGGGAGUUUGUGUUUUUAUCGACAGUACGCGCUUUACCUUACUUAAUUCUAGCUUGUAUACUACCGUCUAAAUAUUCUUAGCACAGUAAAUUACAAUGAGGGAUAGAAACGACAGGUCAUGGUGCAGCGUAAUUAAGAAAAUUACAAACUACAUUUUGCUAAAAAUUGGAAUUAAAAUUAAAUAUUUUAAUAAAAAUGGACUUGGAAGUAAUUGCUAGAUUAGAAUACAGUAAUAAAUCUUAAAUUAUAAGUGUACAGAUCGCCCGUUACUCU
rnacentral:rRNA from 1 species